rnacentral:lncRNA from 1 species
GGUCGUCGGUUACAAUGAGUUGCAAUUGAUUAAGCAGAAUAUUUCCGUUUUCAAAAUGAAAUGAAACAUUACUUUGAAAAGAGUAUCACCAGCCCAGUAGUCAUCACGUCUGUGUUCGCGAGAUCGCCAAACAAACCAUAAAGCUCGCACCAUAAAGCUCGCAUACACAGGUCGAAAUAAAUCUUGCUGGAUCCAUGCAUGUGAUAUUAAAUCCCAACCAUGUGCUUCAUUUCAUAUUAACUUUAUGCCCCCCCCCCCCUUGACCAACGUACACAUUAUAAUUUCCAGAAACCCGUAUUACUGUUACGGUUACGUUGUGAUAACUCAGACACAUUAGUUGUAAUAAGUGGAUGUCUGCGUAUAUAAAUAUACUAAUACGAUGUGGUUUGUUCUUUUUUUUGUUCUUUUUCUUUUUCAUUUUCACUAUUACUUUUACUGUUUAGUCUGAUUUUGGUGAUAUCCAUUAGACGUGGCUCGGUACAUGUGAAUCCCGUCAUUGUGUGUCGUGCUGUUGACAAUUUUUGUAUUCUAGUCUUUUGUUCUUGCUUAUGUGCUUUGUCUAUAUGCCUUUCUGCGUUUCCAGUUUGUAACAUAUUUGUUUGUAUUUAUAGUGAUUAAGACUAUAUCACAAUGUUGACUGUUUUACUUCUAUUUUGACAUUUUUACCUAUUAUAAAUAUAAGAAUUCUGGGGUUGGGGUUUUUUUUUUUUUUUUUGUUACACAUCGUUUUAAUUAUAAUAUCUUUUUGGAC